rnacentral:rRNA from 1 species
CCUACGGGAGGCAGCAGUGAGGAAUAUUGGUCAAUGGGCGUAAGCCUGAACCAGCCAAGUCGCGUGAGGGAAGACUGCCCUAUGGGUUGUAAACCUCUUUUGUCAGGGAGCAAAUGGCGCUACGUGUAGCGUUCUCGAGAGUACCUGAAGAAAAAGCAUCGGCUAACUCCGUGCCAGCAGCCGCGGUAAUACGGAGGAUGCGAGCGUUAUACGGAUUUAUUGGGUUUAAAGGGUGCGUAGGCGGAAAGCGAAGUCAGCGAUAAAAUUGCGGGGCUCAACCUCGCUCCGCCGUUGAAACUGGCGUUCUUGAGUGGGCGAGAAGUAUGCGGAAUGCGUGGUGUAGCGGUGAAAUGCAUAGAUAUCACGCAGAACUCCGAUUGCGAAGGCAGCAUACCGGCGCCCAACUGACGCUGAAGCACGAAAGCGUGGGGAGCGAACAGGAUUAGAUACCCCUGUAGGC